GAAAUGCGAUAAGUAACGUGAAUUGCAGAAUUCAGUGAAUCAUCGAAUCUUUGAACGCACAUUGCGCCCGCCAGUAUUCUGGCGGGCAUGCCUGUUCGAGCGUCAUUACAACCCUCAGGCCCCCGGGCCUGGCGUUGGGGAUCGGCGGAAGCCCCCUGCGGGCACAACGCCGUCCCCCAAAUACAGUGGCGGUCCCGCCGCAGCUUCCAUUGCGUAGUAGCUAACACCUCGCAACUGGAGAGCGGCGCGGCCACGCCGUAAAACACCCAACUUCUGAAUGUUGACCUCGAAUCAGGUAGGAAUACCCGCUGAACUUAAGC
rnacentral:misc_RNA from 1 species